AGCGCUGUAAGGCAACCUUAGAAGUGCGUCUUCUGGGAAAUUCCCUGGGCGUCGGGCAGAAAGUGCCGGUCCUCUGGAUUCCGGGGAGUGUCUGGUGCCGAUCGGACACUCCCUAGCCGCCACACUGACAGUUAUGGUUGCAGGACAAGCUUAGCGAGUCCGAACUCGACAGGGAUACUCUACAGCGUU
rfam:Giardia lamblia ATCC 50803 SC_579 genomic scaffold, whole genome shotgun sequence.